CCUCAUCAUAAUCAGUAUAGGGAUUCUUUCCCAUGGAACCGCGGAACCGAGCAAGCUCUUCCUUGACACGUGAGAGAAUAACCUCUGUUCGCCGCAGCUUGGCACUAAGCAUGAAGCUCCAAUUCCAGCUCUUCUCUUUGCAACCGUUGUCGUUCGGCUUCUUCUUUAAGAAUGUUAACCUUCAAAGUGGGGACCAGUGAGGCAUGAUAACAAUAAAAGCACAAGAGGAAUUUGUAAUUAAUUCAAAACUACCUUGUUCUCCAAUACAUUUACAGUACAUUCUAGCUCUUCAACAGAUCUCUCUAAUAACUUCACCUCGGCUUCCUUGUCCUCAGCGUAGAUCAUUCUUGAUUCAGCUACCUGAAGUUGAUGUAACAAAAUAGUAUUUGGGACAUGAAAAGCAAUAAAGUAUUUCACAAAGUUUGAGUGUUAAA